rnacentral:rRNA from 1 species
GAUGAAUGCUGGCGGCGUGCUUAACACAUGCAAGUCGAGCGAUGAAGUUUCCUUCGGGAAACGGAUUAGCGGCGGACGGGUGAGUAACACGUGGGUAACCUGCCUCAUAGAGUGGAAUAGCCUUCCGAAAGGAAGAUUAAUACCGCAUAACGUUGAAAGAUGGCAUCAUCAUUCAACCAAAGGAGCAAUCCGCUAUGAGAUGGACCCGCGGCGCAUUAGCUAGUUGGUGGGGUAACGGCCUACCAAGGCGACGAGGCGUAGCCGACCUGAGAGGGUGAUCGGCCACAUUGGGACGGGGACACGGCCCAGACUCCUACGGGAGGCAGCAGUGGGGAAUAUUGCACAAUGGGGGAAACCCUGAUGCAGCAACGCCGGGUGAGUGAUGAAGGUUUUCGGAUCGUAAAGCUCUGUCUUUGGGGAAGAUAAUGACGGUACUCAAGGAGGAAGCCACGGCUAACUACGUGCCAGCCGCCGCCGUAA